rnacentral:rRNA from 1 species
CAGCAGCCACGGGAAAACGGAGGGGGCUAGCGUUGUUCGGAAUUACUGGGCGUAAAGCGCACGUAGGCGGCUUGGUAAGUUAGAGGUGAAAGCCUGGAGCUCAACUCCAGAAUUGCCUUUAAGACUGCCGAGCUAGCAGGUGAGAGAGGUAAGUGGAAUUCCGAGUGUAGAGGUGAAAUUCGUAGAUAUUCGGAAGAACACCAGUGGCGAAGGCGGCUUACUGGCUCAUACUGGACGCUGAGGUGCGAAAGCGUGGGGAGCAAACAGGAUUAGAGACCCCAGUAGUCCCUGUCUCUUAUCC